ACUGCAAGACCUUGCGCUUUAGGAGCGACCGAUGCCUGAUUAGCUUGUUGGUAAGGUAAAAGCUUACCAAGGCUUCGAUCAGUAGCUGGUCUGAGAGGACGACCAGCCACACUGGGACUGAGACACGGCCCAGACUCCUACGGGAGGCAGCAGUGGGGAAUUUUGGACAAUGGGGGGAACCCUGAUCCAGCCAUGCCGCGUGAGUGAAGAAGGCCUUCGGGUUGUAAAGCUCUUUCAGCCGGAACGAAACGGUUACGAUUAAUACUCGUAAUUAAUGACGGUACCGGCAGAAGAAGCACCGGCUAACUACGU
rnacentral:rRNA from 1 species